GGUUGACCUCGGAUCAGGUAGGGAUACCCGCUGAACUUAAGCAUAUCAAUAAGCGGAGGAAAAGAAACCAACAGGGAUUGCCUCAGUAACGGCGAGUGAAGCGGCAACAGCUCAAAUUUGAAAUCUGGCCCUUUCGGGGUCCGAGUUGUAAUUUGUAGAGGGUGUUUCGGGCGAGGCGCCGGCCUAAGUUCCUUGGAACAGGACGUCAUAGAGGGUGAGAAUCCCGUAUGCGGCCGGUGACCGACUCCAUGUGAAACCCCUUCGACGAGUCGAGUUGUUUGGGAAUGCAGCUCAAAAUGGGUGGUAUAUUUCAUCUAAAGCUAAAUACUGGCCAGAGACCGAUAGCGCACAAGUAGAGUGAUCGAAAGAUGAAAAGCACUUUGGAAAGAGAGUUAAAAAGUACGUGAAAUUGUUGAAAGGGAAGCGCUUGCAACCAGACCCGUCUUCAGGUGAUCAGCCUCCGUUCUCGGGGGUGCACUCGCCUGGUUAUGGGCCAGCAUCGGUUUGGGCGGUUGGAUAAAGGCCAGAGGAACGUAGCUCCCUCCGGGGAGUGUUAAAGCCUCGGUGCCAUGCAGCCAGCCCGGACCGAGGAUCGCGCUUCGGCUAGGAUGCUGGCGUAAUGGUUGUAAGCGGCCCGUCUUGAAACACGGACCAAGGAGUCUAAUAUUUAUGCGAGUGUUUGGGUGUUAAACCCAUGCGCGGAAUGAAAGUGAACGGAGGUGAGAACCCUUAAGGGUGCAUCAUCGACCGAUCCGGAAGUUUACGGAUGGAUUUGAGUAUGAGCAUAACUAUUGGGACCCGAAAGAUGGUGAACUAUGCCUGAAUAGGGUGAAGCCAGGGGAAACCCUGGUGGAGGCUCGCAGCGGUUCUGACGUGCAAAUCGAUCGUCAAAUUUGGGUAUAGGGGCGAAAGACUAAUCGAACCAUCUAGUAGCUGGUUCCUGUC
rnacentral:rRNA from 1 species